rnacentral:rRNA from 1 species
UACGAAGGGGGCUAGCGUUGCUCGGAAUCACUGGGCGUAAAGCGCACGUAGGCGGAUUGUUAAGUCAGGGGUGAAAUCCUGGAGCUCAACUCCAGAACUGCCUUUGAUACUGGCGAUCUUGAGUCCGGGAGAGGUGAGUGGAACUCCGAGUGUAGAGGUGAAAUUCGUAGAUAUUAGGAGGAACACCGAUGGCGAAGGCAGGUCACUGGGCCGCAACUGACGCUGAGGAGCGAAAGCAUGGGGAGCGAACAGG